rnacentral:misc_RNA from 1 species
GAUGAAGAACGUAGCGAAAUGCGAUAAGUAAUGUGAAUUGCAGAAUUCAGUGAAUCAUCGAAUCUUUGAACGCACAUUGCGCCCGCCAGUAUUCUGGCGGGCAUGCCUGUUCGAGCGUCAUUUCAACCAUCAAGCCCCCGGCUUGUGUUGGGGACCUGCGGCUGCCGCAGGCCCUGAAAACCAGUGGCGGGCUCGCUAGUCACUCCGAGCGUAGUAAUACAUCUCGCUCAGGGCGUGCUGCGGGUUCCGGCCGUCAAAAAAGCCUUAUUUACCCAAGGUUGACCUCGGAUCAGGUAGGAAGACCCGCUGAACUUAAGCAUAUCAAUAAGCGGAGGA